GAUGAACGCUGGCGGCGUGCCUAAUACAUGCAAGUCGAGCGAACAGAUAAGGAGCUUGCUCCUUUGACGUUAGCGGCGGACGGGUGAGUUACACGUGGAUAACCUACCUAUAAGACUGGGAUAACUUCGGGAAACCGGAGCUAAUACCGGAUAACAUAUUGAACCGCAUGGUUCAAUAGUGAAAGGCGGCUUUGCUGUCACUUAUAGAUGGAUCCGCGCCGGAUUAGCUAGUUGGUAAGGUAACGGCUUACCAAGGCAACGAUACGUAGCCGACCUGAGAGGGUGAUCGGCCACACUGGAACUGAGACACGGUCCAGACUCCUACGGGAGGCAGCAGUAGGGAAUCUUCCGCAAUGGGCGAAAGCCUGACGGAGCAACGCCGCGUGAGUGAUGAAGGUCUUCGGAUCGUAAAACUCUGUUAUCAGGGAAGAACAAAUGUGUAAGUAACUGUGCACAUCUUGACGGUACCUGAUCAGAAAGCCACGGCUAACUACGUG
rnacentral:rRNA from 1 species